UACGAAGGGGGCUAGCGUUGUUCGGAUUUACUGGGCGUAAAGCGCGUGUAGGCGGAUCGUUAAGUCGGGGGUGAAAGCCCGGAGCUCAACUCCGGAAUUGCCUUCGAUACUGGCGGUCUGGAGCAUGUCAGAGGCGAGUGGAAUUGCGAGUGUAGAGGUGAAAUUCGUAGAUAUUCGCAGGAACACCAGUGGCGAAGGCGACUCGCUGGGACAUUGCUGACGCUGAGACGCGAAAGCGUGGGGAG
rnacentral:rRNA from 1 species